GACUGUAAUGGUCCAACGGCGAAGUCUUUCACAACUUCUCGCUCGUGAGCCCUCUCUCCGAUGACCCACACUUCAGCCACAUCCCAUCCCCGUAAGAUCCCCCCCUGCCUGGCGCCCAAUCCGAACGCUGCGGUGGCCUGUACGCUCGCAUGGGUAACCUGCGACCGCCGUGCGGCCCUAAGCACUUGGAAAUGACGCUUGAGAGAGGUUUCACUCUGCAGAGGACUUUCCCCCGUCGCGUGGCGGGUUGGAUCACGACCGCGGGGGGGUUUGGGGUGGUUGGGCGAGAUAGAAAUGUACGACGCCUCUU
rnacentral:SRP_RNA from 1 species